rfam:Sphingomonas sp. Root720 contig_1, whole genome shotgun sequence.
GGUGCGGGCCGGGCCCCUCUGGCGUUCCUUCGGGAACGUGAUGUCGGACCGCAUCG